rnacentral:rRNA from 1 species
UACAGAGGUCUCAAGCGUUGUUCGGAUUCAUUGGGCGUAAAGGGUGUGUAGGUGGCGCGCUAAGUCGGGUGUGAAAUUUCGGAGCUUAACUCCGAAACUGCAUUCGAAACUGCCGUGACUCGAGUCCGGUAGGGGAGUUCGGAAUUCCCGGUGUAGCGGUGAAAUGCGCAGAUAUCGGGAGGAACACCAGUGGCGAAGGCGGCUCACUGGACCGGAACUGACGCUGAGGCGCGAAAGCGUGGGGAGCAAACAGG